rnacentral:lncRNA from 1 species
ACUCGCUGCUCCGGCGACUCCCGUUGACGCUUCGGGGCAAAUUCCCCAAUCGGCUCCGUCCCAAGCCUCUCCUCUUCUUCGCUCCACCGCUGCUCCUUUUACUCCCUAUUUUUUUUCCUUCUAACAGUAGAUCUGAUAGUUCCCCAUCGCAUGGCGUCGGCGCUGCUGCGAUUCUCGGCCAGAUAACCAUCUUCACUUCAACCCGUUUUGAAAAAAUUAGGGAUCUGGGGUCUGCAAAGGUAGCAGCUGUAAGACCUGAAGUAAGCAUCUCAAUUUGUUUGUGUUUUUUCCAGUUUCGUUAUAUGAAAAGGAGGUAGCAUCUGGGGUUUCAGAUCUACUAGUAAAUUUGAUACCAGAAAGUAAGCAGAGUUAGUGGGGGAAUGCGAAGCCUUUGGUUUUCUUAUUCGUUCUGUUUUCAGUUUUGGAAUUACCAGGUAAAAUUUUGUUUUUCUACACAAACUAUAAAAUUGUGUUAGUAGCAUAGAUUGUGGGUUAGACAUUAGUGUUUGCCUGCCGAAGUCAGCAGUUUUAACCUAUUAAAAUCCAACGACAUUAGUGUCAGAUUUGUACUAAUCUUGUGCUUACUGUACUUGUAGCCAAGCAAUUGAUUCACCAAGGUAGGCUGCUCUGCUUCUCACCUAUAUAUAUGGUGGAAUCCGAGGUCCAGG